rnacentral:rRNA from 1 species
AGCUUGUUGGUAGGGUAACGGCCUACCAAGGCCACGAUGGUUAGCUGGUCUGAGAGGAUGAUCAGCCACACUGGAACUGACACACGGUCCAGACUCCUACGGGAGGCAGCAGUGAGGAAUUUUGCGCAAUGGGGGAAACCCUGACGCAGCAACGCCGCGUGAGUGAUGAGGGCCUUAGGGUCGUAAAGCUCUGUCAAGUGGGAAGAAACUGUAUAAUACCAAUAAUGUUAUACACUGACGGUACCACUAAAGAAAGCACCGGCUAACUCCGUGCCAGCAGCCGCGGUAAUACGGGGGGUGCAAGCGUUAUUCGGAAUCAUUGGGCGUAAAGAGCGCGUAGGCGGUCUCUUAAGUCAGGUGUGAAAGCCCGGGGCUUAACCCCGGAAGUGCAUUUGAAACUAAGGGACUUGAGUAUGGGAGAGGGAAGUGGAAUUCCUGGUGUAGAGGUGAAAUUCGUAGAUAUCAGGAGGAACACCGGUGGCGAAGGCGACUUCCUGGACCAAUACUGACGCUGAGGCGCGAAGGCGUGGGUAGCAAACAGGAUUAGAUACCCUGGUAGUUCACGCAGUAAACGGUGAACACUAGGUGUAGCGGGUAUUGACCCCUGCUGUGCCGCAGUUAACGCAUUAAGUGUUCCGCCUGGGGAGUACGACCGCAAGGUUAAAACUCAAAGGAAUUGACGGGGGCCCGCACAAGCGGUGGAGCAUGUGGUUUAAUUCGACGCAACGCGAAGAACCUUACCUGGAUUUGACAUCCCGGGAAUCUUAUGGAAACAUAAGAGUGCCCUUCGGGGAACCUGGUGACAGGUGCUGCAUGGCUGUCGUCAGCUCGUGUCGUGAGAUGUUGGGUUAAGUCCCGCAACGAGCGCAACCCUUAUCUUUAGUUACCAUUAUUCAGUUGGGGACUCUAAAGAUACUGCCCCGGUUAACGGGGAGGAAGGUGGGGAUGACGUCAAGUCCUCAUGGCCUUUAUGUCCAGGGCUACACACGUGCUACAAUGGGCUGUACAAAGGGUAGCGAACCCGCAAGGGCCAGCCAAUCCCAUAAAGCAGUUCGUAGUUCGGAUUGGAGUCUGCAACUCGACUCCAUGAAGCUGGAAUCGCUAGUAAUCGUGGAUCAGCAUGCCACGGUGAAUACGUUCCCGGGCCUUGUACACACCGCCCGUCACACCAUGAGAGUUGGUUGUACCAGAAGUUGUUGGGCAAAC